rnacentral:tRNA from 1 species
GGUGGCUCAGUGGUAGAGGGCUUGCCUUGCAUGCAUGAAGCCCUGGGUUCGAUUCCCCAGCACCA